UACGAAGGGGGCUAGCGUUGUUCGGAAUCACUGGGCGUAAAGGGCGCGUAGGCGGCUUUAUAAGUCGGGGGUGAAAGCCUGUGGCUCAACCACAGAAUUGCCUUCGAUACUGUAGAGCUUGAGACCGGAAGAGGUAAGUGGAACUGCGAGUGUAGAAGUGAAAUUCGUAGAUAUUCGCAAGAACACCAGUGGCGAAGGCGGCUUACUGGUCCGGUUCUGACGCUGAGGCGCGAAAGCGUGGGGAGCAAACAGG
rnacentral:rRNA from 1 species